rnacentral:lncRNA from 1 species
CACACACACACACCACAACACAUCAAAAUGACAUUAUAUAACUAUAACUGCCCUAUAUAAAGAUUUACUAACAUGAACAAUAGAAACAAAAAAAAAAAAAAAAAAACGAAUUUGAAUCGCGAUAAACCUACAUUGCAAUUUCGUUUUCCUCACCAAUACACACACACACACACACACACGAAGCAAAAAGCUUAUCCAAAUCAUUAAUUUACCUUAAUUAAAGUUGCACAUCUCUAUCAUAUAUCCAGCUAAACGGGACCCGCUGUGCUUGCUUAGCUCGUCCAAGAGCUCUCUCCUCCAACCUUCUGAUCCUCCGUGGCAGUCCACAGACGUAAUCCUGCGCCUUCGCCCCGUCAGAAGACAAUCCCGUUAAACUCUCCACUUUCCAUCGACCAACUAAAUGUUCUAGAAUAUCCGCAUAGUCUUUAGCUGUGUAUACACCGAGUCUUUGAGCCACAGACGAAAAGUGAUCGAAAAGAUUAUCAUCACGCCCAUCGUACAUUAAGUGGGCCGGCAUUGAUAUUUUCUUUCUCAUCAUAUCGGCAAAAGAAAUCACGGUUUCAUUUGGGUCGAUUUCGAAUAAUUUUUCGACUAUUUUAGUGUAUGCAGUUUCAUGUCGUUUUUCGUUGGAAGCUAUUGUACUGCAUAUUUGAGCAAGAUUUAUGUCACCGUGCUCCUCGCCAGCCUGGCGGAGUUUCCAUGGGAGACGAAGGUAGCUCUUUCUUGGAAUGAUGUGUAGAUGAAUCCGAGGUAUCGGUUGUUUUCUGUUCUUGGAUCCUGAAAAAAAGUAUUUUUGAAAAAAAACGUAAGAGUUUGAAAGGACUAUUUUAACUUCGAUUUCAAGUGCAGAGCAAAUCAAUACUUCGAACAUCAAAGAAUUUUUAAUGUGAGAAUUACAGAUCCUUCUUUGAGCUCUAGCCUCAAGUCUAAACCAAAACCUUGCUAUUGAUUGUGAAUUAACAUUUUCGGAAAAAAUCAAAUUUUUUCGCGCAAGUGAAAAACUAACUGCAAUUCGUUUCAAAAAGUAAAAAUCGAAAAUCGGAAUUUUGAAUUUCAUAUACUACGCUAUUUGAAGGAUAACAAGUAACAUAAUAGGUUCUUGAGAAGUGGUUGAGGGUCACGGCUAAGGCUGGAUAUAAGACGGAUCGGAUUGUAAUUCGCAUUUUUUCGGAAAAAUCCUUUUUUUUUUUCAUCUAAAUGUCUUCUGAAAACCUUAAUCAACGUGUAUAUAUAUAUAUAUGCUCCCUCUCCCGAUAGGCAACCUUGGAUUUUGGACUUUUCAUCUUUUUAUUGUCAUUGAAGAAAUCAGGUAUAAACUACUUCUAAAAGGCAUAAGAUGUCUUAGAUUCGACUAUGAACAAAUGAGAAGAAUAGGGGAGAAAUCGUAGACGAGCAACUCUUUGUUGUUUUUAUAUUGUUUUCAUAUCUUAAAGAAUACAAAAUUUAUUGUGUUUUUCUUGUUUCUAUAUCUCCAUUGUUUUUAUAUCGUUUUCAUAUGUUAAAGAAUACAAAAUUUUGGCAAAAAGGUUAGUUGUUGUCCACAACAGGGAUUAAGAAUAAUGAUAAAAUUGAUUUUGUUUAGACUGGAUUAAAUAUAUUUUAUUUUUCUUCGUCUUUUUUUCUCUCUUUAUCUCUGAAGCAUGGCAUAAUAUGCAUAUUCACGAUUGGAUACUGCUAGAGUUUAUAUAUAUAGUAGUAAUGGUUCUUCCAAUGCGAGCAAAUUCGGUUGAUUAGAGUGUUUAUGUAUAGGUUUACAUGGAAAUUGAUAAACUAUUUAGCGGACAUAUUGUUUUGUGUGAGUAAUACAUGCUCUUUUGGGUAUACAAUUGACUAUGCAAACAAGAUUUUCUUUCUCAAGAUUAUUUUACGUCUUUACCAGAUUUGGCUUUGCAUCUUUGAUGAUGCCAACACACUCACUAAGAUGUGUUUUGUGUGCUAAAUCAGAACACAAAUGAAUGACCUAAGUUCCUUUUCAUACUACUCUUCUUACCUUUUUAUACUACUCCACUUACUUAGUAGCGGACGGUAGUGGUCAAACAAUUACUACUAUUGAUUCUCCGGAACACUCCAAAGAAUUUCUAGAAAUAUCUACAUUCGAGAAGCUUCUAGCUACUCUCUUGAACAUUUCAAAAUCUUUACAAAAACAUCAUGUGCAAGUGGGUCUACUUGGGCCAUUUCUCGGCUUAAGUAAUGGGCUUGCCUUAUUGUAUCAUAAAAACUAUUGUCAUCAAGAAAAUAUGCGAAGUGUUUGUGCUCAUAAUAGUUCUCCUUCUCCCCCUUUACCGUGUUGGUAGUAGCUUAACCAAAUUUGUUUUACAUCUAUAAUUUUAUUUUUUUCCAUCAAGCUAUCUUUUCCUCUUAUUAUGUUUUCCUUGGGUUCUCUUUAUUAGGAGUUUAGUGCAAUUAGUACUCUUGUAUUGUAUCGAAUUGCAAAACAACUAUUCUUUGUUAUUUUAGUACCGUUGGUCAGGGGUUGUGUGCUAACAAAAAUUUGAAUCAUAAAUAAUACAGAUAGGGGUACUAAUUGCAAUAAACACUUUUUAUUAAAAUAAACUUAGAGGGAAGGUAAUGAAUAAACAAUUACUUAGUUGCAAAAUUAAAGAGUCAAUAAAAAUACUUUGUAAUUAUACUAUUUUGAAGGGGUCUAGAUGUAAGUAGCCAAUUAUAACCAUUAAACAACAGACUCCACCUUUUUCAUUUCAUUUUGGACUGCAGUAGAAUUUUCUUCACAAAAAAUCGCUUUGAGAAGAUGAGGAUUUCUGCCAAUAGCGCCUCCCAAUUCGAAGAGCAAUUGCUGCUAAAUCUUCUCCUAAUUAUGGUAUUUUUGCUGAUCCGUUCUCUUUAUUUUGUUCAAAUUUUCAUAGCAAAGAUAGACUUUUUUCACCUAAUUUCAAAAGAGAUUUGAAUUGUGAAAGUGAAGUAGAUGAAGCUAUUUUAUUGUUUCGCAAAAUGGUGAGAAUGCGGCCGCAGCCCCCCAUUUUUGAAUUCACCAAACAAUUGAAAGUUAUUGUCAAUAUGAAACAAUACUCGGUUGCCCUCAAACUGUUCGACGAAAUGCGUGAACUGGGUGCCCCUGUAAAUGAGUACACAAUGACCAUCUUGAUUAAUUUUUGCUGCAAUUUGAAGCGUGUAGACGUUGGUUUUGCUGUCUUCGGCAUCAUCCUUAAACACGGUUACGAGGCAAAUGUUACGACAUUCACCACUCUCUUAAAAGGGCUCUUUUUAGAUGAUAAAGUGGCCGAUGCGGAAAAAUUGUUCAAGAAGAUUUUGACUUUGAAACUUUGUGAGCCGAACGAUGUUACGAUUCUUACUGCGAUAGAUGGGCUCUGCAAAGCUGGACGUGUUCAUACUGCCCAUGAUUUGCUUUUGUUAUUGGAAAAGACGAUCUAUAAGCCCAAUGUUAAGGCUUAUAAUGCAGUAAUUAAUGGCUUAUGUAAAGGCGGAAUGGUGGAUGAUGCUCUCCAGCUCAAAUCUAGAAUGAUUGACGAGGGACUUUCGGCCACUGUUGUAACAUAUACGUCGAUGAUUCAGGGCUUGUGCGAUUUCGGUAGAUGGAAAGAGGUCAAAGACUUAUUAAAUGAAAUGGUCAAUAACAAGAUUUCCUUAAAUGUUGUUACUUUUAGUAUGUUGGUGGACGCGUUUUGCAAGGAAGGAAAUGUUAAAGAGGCUGAAGAUGUUUUGGAAAUUAUGAAGCAACAAAACAUUCGUCCUAAUAUUUUCACGUACUCUGCGUUGAUAGACGGAUACUGUUUGCAAGGGAAAAUGGAUAAAGCGAAAGAAGUAUUUGAUUCUAUAACAGGCAACGGCCUUAAGCCAUGCAUUGUCGCCUAUAACUCUUUAAUCAACGGGUAUUGCAAGAAUGGUAAAGUGGAUGAAGCUUGGCGUCUUUUUCUCGAAGCUUCUUCUAAAGGUUUAGAGUACCUUGAUACAAUUACCUAUACCACCAUGAUACAUGGAUUACUAAGUCAAGGUAGAAACGCUGAUGGAUGGAAACUUUAUAAAGAUAUGGAAGCUCGGCAAGUAAAUCCUAAUUUACGUACUUACAAUACUUUGUUGGAAGGCUUGUGCAAGACUCGUCAGAUUUCUGAAGCGUUUUCAUUUCUAAAGAUGAUAGAAGACAAAGGAGUAAGUCCUAAUAUAGUCACAUACGGUAUCCUGAUUAAUGGUUUGUGCAAAGAUGGGAAACUUGAAGAUGCGAAAAAGCUUUUAAACGAACUUCCUUCCAAGGGGUUGGAACCUGAUAAUCACAUAUAUAAUGUCAUUAUUGGUUCACUUUGUGAAGAAGGGUUCGUCGACGAGGCAAAAGAUUUGCUUAUAAAAAUGGAGAGAAGUGGUUGCGCACCGAAUAGCAUGUCAUACAACAUCAUUAUUCAUUGCUUGUUGAAGAAGAAAAAGUUGGACAAGGCAAUACCAUUCUUAGAGGAAAUGCACAAAAAAGGAUUCUUUGCCGACGCAUCUACUUCGUCCAUGUUAAUUAAUCACCUGCAAGGGUCCAAGAAAGAUGAUGUUCUUUUAGAAAUGAUGAAGAAAGUUGUUCCGAAAAUAUAAAUUAUUUAUUUUCGGCUUGUCGAGUUUAAUUAGGUUUUUGGAAUGUUGAAAAUGACUUGUUGUAUUAUGUAACCUAUGGUGGAUGUCUAUAGGAGUUACAAAAUUAUUAGUGUAUGUAAUUAGAGGUGAUAAUGGUGGAUGUUAAGGCUAUUCAUUCCCUUGUAACUCAUGACCUUUUGAAUGGUCUUCUUAUACUAUAAAAGGGAGACCAUUAUAUGGAGUUGUAAUACACUUGAAUAAGAAUACAAUACAUAUACACACACACUUGCUCUCUUCUUGUCUUUCCAUUGUUUUGUAGGUCGUUAUUGAUUUUUCUUUUCUUCUUGAAUUUCUAUUUGGGUUUCUGCAUUGUCGUCCCAAUGAUAUUCGUGUUUCAUGUUUUUGUGAUUGUGGUUGGCCGGUUGUCGACUCAUUUUUGUAUUCGUUUGCUUAUGCCUCGUUUGGUUACCAAAAUAAGAUCAGUCAAGAUAAGAUUAAAUAGUCUAUUGAAAACCCAAUUAUUUUAUUGGAUCCUGAAAUGCCCAACGAAAAAGUUUCCUAAAAUGCAAGAUAACAUAAUAUUUGCAUGUCAACCCGGUAAGUUAUUGGAGAUAUCAAACAGCAAACAAAAUCCACAUAUUUAGUUAAUAAUGGCUAAUCUCCCCAACCAAACGAGGCAAUAAUAUAUUCAUCAAUUAUCCUAAACAAAAUGUGUAUUUUUUCGGGAAAAUUACAAUAUUUUUGACUCUUUUGAGAAAUAUUCUUUAAACAAUUGAAAUAUUGUUUAAAAAAAAUAAAAUAUUGCUUUCUAAAUCAAGAUUUUCAGAAUUCAAAUGAAAAUAUUGUUUCAAGAUAAAAUAAAAAUUCGAUCAGAAUAGGCGGGAAAAGAAACCUCCAUUCCAAUCUUCACUCUUAUUUAAUAAUCUAAAAUUCAUAAAUUGUUUCAAAAUAUUUUUAGAAGUAUUGUCUCAAAAAAUAAUACAAUGUUUUAAAACCGGAAUUUCUUGAAUCCGAAUGAAAAUUAUUGUUUUAAAUAAAAUAAAAAUCAGAUCGUAAUACACAGAGUAAGAAAACUCUGUUCCAAUUCAGAAAUAUUUAAAAAAAAAUCGUAAUACUGUCUAAAAAAAGGAAUAUAGUGUUUUAAAAUUGGCAUUUUUGGAAAUUGAAUGAAAAUAUUAUUUUAAAAUAAAAUAAAAAUUCGAUCCAACUAGGCCUGAUAAGAAAACUUCGUUCCAAAUUUCACCCAUAUUGAAUCAUUUAAAACUCGAUAUAUUGUUUCAAAAGUGGAAUUUUUGGAAUUGACUAGAGGUGAAAAUUGGAAUAAUGAUUUAUAAUUCCCCAAUUCCUAUCGUGUUUUUUUUUUUGGUUUGAAACGAUAUUAUUUAAUCGAAUUCGAAAAAUGCCGAUUUUGAAACAAUAUUUUAAAUUUUAGACUAUAUUUUGAUUUAAAAAAAAAUUCGAAAAUAUCUUGAAACAAUUAUCCAGUUGACUUUUUGAGAAUUUACGUGAUUUCGAUUUUGUAUUAAAUUUUAAUUAAAAAUAAUAAUUAUGAAAAAUCAGUUUUACAAGAUGCAAUGCGUAUUGUUAAAACUUUAAAGUCCAUUUUCAUGCAGUGUUGUAAAUUGAAGGCAUGUGAGAGGCACAUGCCAUAUUUCAUCCAAUUUAACUGCAGAAAUAAACGGCGAACCAAUUCUGUCAAAAAAUGACAUGAUUAAGGACUAAUACUGUAACUCCGAAAUAUUUAGGGACAUUUGAGAAAGUGGGUAAAAUAAGACGAACAAUGUAAUUUUCCUUUAUUUUUCAGUUCACUCUUUUGUUUCCUUACACUUGGAAUAAAUCUGAAUUUCUCACUUUACUAUUUCCUUUCAUACAAAAAACCAAAAAGCCAACCACAAAGCUUCAACAUACCCUAUUCCCUCCUCUACCUUUGAAAACUGUACUGAUUCUCCUGACCUUUAUGAUUCCGACUCACUUUCACUUGAAUUUUCUUCUAAGUUUUGCACAUAAAUGAAAGUUGCUCUAUCCUUAUCAUUCCCAGCUCUUUGGCCAUUUCAGGAAUCUCUUUCAUAGACAUUUUGUCUACUUAACAAUAGUCAAAAUAAGCAAUAUCUCCAGCUAAAUAGUAGACCCUACUUAAGUUCAAAACUUACCCGAAUGAUACAUUUUUAUGGUGAAAAAUUCAGAGUUCCAAGCAAACUUUACAAAUUAAAAAUACCAGACUCAACUUUACAUAUCUCUUUUCAUCCAAAAAAACUCAUAAAGAAUAAAAUGUGGUCCACAAAAUUGGAACAUGACUCAUGAGUAAAACCAGUGUUCUAAAAAUCGGCCGAGGCGGCGGAUUAAUCGGUCUCCGAGGCGGAGGCGGUCCAAAACCUUUACGAUUUUAGUGUAAAGGUUUGAAAUAUCGGUUUUUUGCCUGUGAGGCGGUCCGAGGCGCUCCGAGGCGGGUUGAGGCGGUCUGAGGCAGUCAAACCUUUAAUGUUUUCACGAAAUUGUACCUUACAAUUCGUGGAUUUUUCCACGAAAUAUAAUGAAAUGUUUCGUGAAAUUCAGUAUGAAAUCACUAAUUGAUUUGUUUACUAAUUAACCAAUUUAUUUCAGGCACUCAAAUUGACCUAAAAAUUCAAAUACAAAUACAAAUUGAACUAGAAUUCAAAUACAAAUACAAAUUCAACUAGAUUUCAGAUACAACUACAAAUUGAUCUAAAAUUCAAAUACAAUACAAAUUGAACUAGAAUUCAAAUAGAACUACAAAUUGAACUACCGACCAAACUUUAAUUGUACGUACAAGAGUAGUCGGGGUUUGUACAUUUUGAGUAAGUGCCUCAGGUUUUUAGCUCUAUGGUGUACCCAUGCCGGAUGGAUUGGUGGUAGAGGACUAUUCGCGACCAAAUUAACAAACAUGGAAUGAUUGUUGUGCAAUGUCACAACAAUCAUACAUGAUAAGUGACCACUGCCAAACAUAGGAAGGUAAGUCAUACUCCCUACUUGAGUCAAAAGUACCACUAAUGCACUGUAUCUGGUAGCAAUGGCCAAUCCCAUUUCAUUCAUGUCCAUCCAAUAAGCUUGUGGACAAGGCCCUGAGUUCCAGUCACACUUGCAUAUGACCUCAACGUAUCCGGUACUGUCAAACAUCGCCGUGUACACAUUAGCAUGCUCGUAUAACUCAAUAAACAACUCCCCUCUCACUUGUGGCCAUCUUUCUUGAUCCCCGUACACGGCUUGAGUAAAGCACCGGUACCCACAGUUGCCAUCCGCCAUCACGUUAACAUAAUCUUGAAUAAGACGAACCAUAAAUCGGGGCACGAAAGAAUAAAAGUCGAUUCUUUCAUGUGCAUGUAUUGUAGGGGCAGCAGAUUUUUGUGUGGGAAUACGAGAACCACGACCUUUCAUCUUCGAUUGAAGUAUUCCAUCAGUGCUUCUCUCAACCUUUGCUUUAGGAAUCUUUGCACCAGAUGAGGUUUGGCGACCCUUGGAACCACAAGACAACUUAAUUGUCUCCUCAUCAAUAUGAUACUGCCAUCCGGAAGGGUCUCUCUUUGUCGAGUUAUUCUUUGGUCGUCCUUUGGUCUUAACAAAUGAUGGCUCGGACAGAUGCGACGUAGACGGAUAAACGAUGCCAGCAAUGAGGCCACGGCAUUUAUCUUACUCGUGUAAUUCAUCUUCUUCAAAUUGCAAUUCAGGUCAUCAAUCUGUCUAUAUACAAUCUCCUUGCGUUUUACUUGAUACUCAGGUAACUCCGAAGGCUCAACUGUCAUGGUACUCCAUAAUGGAUGCAAGUCUGAAAUGACGAACGUGUCAUUAUCUUCCAUUUUCUACACAAUUUUGCACGCGCAUGGGAGCCCAUGAAUAUUCCAAAGAUAGUGUGUGCAAAUACUCGAAUCUUGCAUCGCCGGGGACUCCAUCUCUUGAUCCAAUUUCUCUAAUGCCAGAUGCGUAACAUAACAAAUCAAACCCUGAAAACACGGCCAUGCUGCAGUAUGCUUCCUUAUCUUGGAUGAUAAUGAAAAAUCGCACUUCAGCUGACUAAUUUGGAUAUAAACUUGGUCCCGAAGUUUGCCUUGCACGUUAUCCAGACCUCCGGUCGAAGCAUUUAACCAACCCUUCGCAAAAGAAUGAGCACUCACCACCCUAUCCAAUUACAACAACAAUCAAAGCAUACAAAGACAAUCAAAUUACAAAAUAAAUAUUAUUUUCAUAUAAUAUAUUUUAUCAUUUAAAUAACUAAAACAUGUAAUACGUGUUGGUGCUCGUGUUGCCAAAAUGAUACACAUUGCGAGUAUAGGCUCGAACAAACUUCUCCUUGUAUAUCAACCACGUAUCAUUCAAAUACUGUAUCAGUCUAGGAUACCCCCUGCAUACCGUCCAACAAUUUCAUUGUACUUGUAAUGAUACUCUUCUUCGUUUUAUGAUUUCACCAGCUUAGCCCACAGCCCACGUCGAAAUAUUAGACCUUGGUCAUUGUUGCCUCUCAUAAAUUUCGUCGCAUUUGCCUCAACAUUUCUGUUUAUAUGGAAUAUACACAACAUAUGAUACGAAAAUGGGAAGACAUUUGGCAGUGCUUUCAAAAGACCCAACUCCAUGUCUGUCAAGAUCGCAUUAGGUUCGACACCAUCUAGCAACUCUUUCAAACAAUUCAAAGUCCACUCAUAGGUAUCUGCAUCUUCAUGCGACAUAAAUGCAACAACAAUUGUAAAAUUCCUCCCAACUGGAGUUAUCCCAAUUAUUGCCAAAAGAGGCAUAGCAUACCUACAACAAUGUUGUUUUUACAUAUUUAAACAAUACAAUACAUUAAAACACAAUAAUCAUAAUUUAAACAAUCGUAAUUUUUACUUACUUAUUGGUUUUGUAUGUGCAGUCCAUCAAUAUAACAUACGGGAACAGCCGUAGUAACUUAAUAGAUUCGGGACAUGCAAACAUAAUAUAUGUAAUCGUGUUGCUCGUUUCACUAUCGACGCGAUGCCAAUAUCGAUACUCGCCUUGUUGAAAGUUAUGCAUCAUAAAAUGAAUAACAGUCAUGCCCUCCAUUUCCUCAGAUUUAAUCUUGGCCACCACAUUGUAAACAUGCUUCAUAGAGGUUUGUAUCGUCGGAUCAUCUUUCCUCAAUCUAUCCAUGAUUAGCAUUGGCUUCACGUGCGAAUUUCGCAAUUCUUUAAUUCUUGCUUUCUGUUGUGGAGUUAUACGACUAGUCGUACCUUGUCCGUGAGGAAACAAAGCCGGACGAUGAGUAUGCCUGCCAUCGCUGACAGUCAACCGCCAUAAUUCAUCAAACCUUGACUUUUUGCCAAUCAAUUUGAACGGACAACCACAUUUUUUUGUUCCAGUGUUUCUAGGAUCUUCCACAUCGAUAUUCGUUUGUCGGCCAUGUCCGUAUUUGUCACACGUCAAGUACUGUGCAUUCUCCCUUCUAGACUGACAAAUCAAACGGUGACAAUGACUAUCUGCAGUUGCUUUGGCCCACUUGAUUAGUUCUUCCUUACUAUUGAACACAAUAUCAACUUGGAGGAAGUGAGAGAAAUCUUCAUAUUCAUUUUGAUCCAAAACCGAUGGAUCAAAAUACAAAUUGUCUUCAUAUGGCUGUGUAAAUAAAAAAAAGUUAGAUACUUGCAAAAAAAAAUAAUAAUAAUUACUAGGUAUUUCGUGUAAAAGUACACGAAAUUAAUGUAUACAUUUCAUGUAGUAAUGCACAAAAUGAAUAACAAAACAGUUUACUGCUGUUUCGUGUGAUUUUACACGAAAUAAGAGGUAUAAUUUCGUAGUAUUGUAUACGAAAUGACUGGAAAACACGAAUAUGGUGUUAAUUUCGUGCAAAACACCACGAAACGACUUGAAUAAUUUCGUGAUAUUCUACACGAAACGACUGAAAAUCGAAAAAAAAUCACACUAAAACGUAAUUUUUUACCUCAUUUACGGGAUCGAUGUUGGCCAUCUUGAUAAUCGUUGGAUUUUAACUGAUUUCUACGAAAACAAAUCACGAUCUACAAAAGUCGAAAUAUUUGGAGGUUGAGAGGAUUUUGUAAAAGGUUAAAGUGUUUUUUGACAAAUGAAUUAUUUCGCACUGUAGCUGGAAAAAACCGCACUAUGAAUAGUAAACCCCAUGGAGUUUUAAGUGACCAGUGCAAUGAAUUACUAAGUCCAGGUAUGAUCGUGCAAUUAUUAUUUUUGUUUGGAGGACAAAGCGUAAAGCGGCCAACAUACGGAGGUAAAGCGCACUUAUAAUACAUAACCUCUAUUAUUAUAGUAGAGGUCUAGGGUUUGAAUCAUGCCCCUCUCCCUACCUCCCCAAUUUGCAACAGGGUUUGAAUUUCUAAAUAAAUAAAAUAAAAUAAGGGGAUGAUUAAAACAAAUUCCAAUUUUUUCUCACUCUAAUACCAAAAAAAAUAAAAAUUGAAUUAUAAAUAGGUAAUGACAUAAAUACCCUUAAUGAAAAUAAAUACCAUACAAAUAUUAAAAAUCUCAUUUUUCUUCCUUCGAUACCAAACACACAAAACCCUUCAAACCCAUCUUCGUCUUCACAAAUCCCUCAACCUCUUCCUUCUUCUUCCUCACAACAAACCCUUCUAAAAAAUCUCAAAACUAAAGAAAUUAAAACCUCACACAACUUGUAAAAUGGAGUCAAAUGACAACGAAAUGAUAGUUUACGACUAAGGAGAACACAUUAAGGUAAGUAUCGUUGUCUUUUUUGAGCUUUGAAGUCGAUUUUGAAGGUUUAAUUUUUUUUUUAAACCCGCCGGCAAUUUUGGACACAUACAUGUCGAUUAUUUGGUCAAUUUUCGACACCAAAAAUAUACUUAGAAAAAAAAACAAAUUUCGACACAUACCUGUCGAAAUUCCUCUGAAUUUCAACAGGUAUGUAUCAGAAAACACUGCAAUUCUUUUUUCUUUGGAACAAGGAGGACCAAAAGUGAAAUCGGGCCAAACAUGAGGGACCAAAAGUGUAAUUCUCGCUACUAAAGAAAGUCUUCCAUUUCACGAGGGAGUAUUGUCUAAGUCAGCACAUCAAACAACAGACUCUCUGUCUCUGCCUUUUCAUUUCACUAGAAUUUCUUCACAAAAAUCGCUUUAAGAAGAUGAGGAUUUAUGGAAGAGCGGCUAUUCGCAGAGCAAUUUCUGCUAAAUGUUCUACUUAUUACGGUAUUUUUGCUGAUCGGCUCUCUUUCUUUUCUUCAAAUUUUCAUAGCGUACGCCACAAAGAUAGACUUUUUUCACCUAACCUCAGAAGAGAUUUGAGCUGUGAAAAUGAAUUAGAUGAAGCUAUUUUCUUGUUUCGCAAAAUGGUGAGAAUGCGGCCGCAGCCCCCCGUUUUUGAAUUUACCAAACAAUUGCAAGUUAUUGUCAAUUUGAAGCAAUACUCUGUUGCCCUUCAACUGUUCGACGAAAUGCGUCAAUCAGCUGCCCCUGUAAAUGAGUACACGAUGACCAUCUUGAUUAAUUGUUGUUGCCUUUUGAAACGUGUAGACGUUGGUUUUGCUGUGUUCGGCAUCUUCUUUAAACAGGGCUACAAUGCAAAUGUUGUGACAUUCACCACUCUUCUAAAAGGGCUCUUUUUAGAUGGUAAGGUGGCCGAUGCGGAAAAAUUGUUUAAGCAGCUUUUGACUUUGAAACUUUGCGAGCCAAACGAUGUUACGAUUCUUACUGCGAUAGAUGGGCUCUGCAAAGCUGGACGUGUUCAUACUGCCCAUGAUUUGCUUUUGUUAUUAGAAAAGAGUAUCUAUAAGCCCAAUGUUAAGGCUUAUAGUGCGGUAAUUGAUGGCUUAUGCAAGACCGGAACGGUAGAUAAUGCUCUCCAGCUGAAGUCUAAAAUGACUGAUAAGGGCAUUUCACCUGACGUUGUCACAUAUAACUCGAUGAUUCAGGGCUUGUGCGAUUUUGGUAGAUGGAAAGAGGUGAAGGACUUACUAACUGAAAUGGUCAAUCGUAAGAUUCCUUUAGAUGUUGUUACUUUUAAUAUAUUAGUAGACGCAUUUUGCAAGGAGGGAAAUGUUAAGGAGGCCGAGGAUGUUUUGGAAAUUAUGACGAGACAAAAUAUUUAUCCUAAUAUUUUCACGUACAAUGCAUUGAUAGAUGGGUAUUGUUUGCAAGGGAAAAUGGAUAGAGCGAAAGAAGUGUUUGAUUCCAUAACGGGCAGCGGCCUUACGCCAUGUAUUAUCAGCUAUAGCUCUUUAAUCAACGGAUAUUGCAAGAAGGGUAAAGUGGAUGAAGCUUGGCGUCUUUUUCUCGAAGCUUCUUCUAAAGGUUUAGAGUACCUUGAUACAAUUACCUAUAGCACCAUGAUACAUGGAUUGUUAUGUGAAGGUAGAAACGCUGAUGGAUGGAAACUUUUCAAUGAUAUGGAAACUCGACAAGUACAUCCCGAUUUAUAUACUUGCAAUAUUUUGUUGGAAGGCUUGUGCAAGACUCAUCAGAUUGCCGAAGCAUUUUCAUUUCUACGGGUGAUUGAAGACAGAGGAGUAAGUCCUAAUAUAAUUACAUAUGGUAUCCUGAUUAAUGGUUUAUGCAAAGAUGGGAAACUUGAAGAUGCAAAAAAUCUUUUAAACGAACUUCCUUCCAAAGGGUUGCAACCUAAUAAUAAAAUAUAUGGUGCCAUUCUUGGUUCGUUGUGUGAUGAAGGAUUUAUAGACGAGGCAAAAGAUUUGCUUAUAAAAAUGGAGAGAAGUGGUUGCGCACCGGAUAGCAUGACAUACAACAUCAUUAUCCAGGGUUUGCUAAAGAAGAAAGAGUUUGACAAGGCAAUCCCAUUCUUUGAGGAAAUGCACAGAAAGGGAUUCUUAGCCGACGCAUCUACUUUGUCCAUGUUAGUUGAUCAGUUGCAAGGAUCCAAAAAAAAUGAUGUUCUUUUAGAAAUGAUGAAGAAAGUUGUGCCGAAAAUGUAAAUUAUUUAAUUUCGGCUUGUCAAGUUUAAUUAGUUUUUUGGAAUAUUGAAAAUGACUUGUUGGUCAUUAUUGAUUUUUCUUUUCUUCUUGAAUUUCUAAUUUCUAUUUGGGCUUCUGCAUUGUCCUCCCUAUGAUAUUCGUGUUUCAUGUUUUUGUGAUUGUGGUUGGCUGGUUGUCGACUCAUAUUUGUAUUUGUUUGCUUAGGUCUCGUUUUGUUGCCAAAAUAAGAUUAGUCAAGAGAAGAUUAAAUGGCCUAAUGAAAACCCAAUUAUUUUUAUCGGACCCUGAAAUGUCCAACGAAAAAGCUCCCUAAAAUGCAAGAUAACAUAAUUUUUGCAUGUCGACCCGAUAAGUUAUUGGAGAUAUCAAACAUCAAUUAUCCGAAACAAAAUGUGUAUUUUUCAGUUCACUCUUUUGUUUCCUUACACUUUAAAUAAACCCGAACUUCUCACAUUACUAUUUUCUUUCAUACAAAAAACUAAAAAAAAAGGCAAGCACAAAAUGAAAAGAGAAUAACAAGAAAAAGAAUGCCCAAAGGGCAAUAUGGACAAUAUUGAUAUCAACCUCAACAUCAGAGUGCAUGGUCAUCAUCAUGCACGCAUUCAGUUUCAGAAUCACUAUCAUAGACAUUUUAUUUACUGAACAAUAGUCAAAAUAAGCAAUAUCUACAGCUAAAUAGCAUACCCUACUUAAGUUAAAAAACUUGCCAGAGUGAUACGUUUUUAUGGUGAAAAUUUUAGAGUUUUAAACAAACUUGGGGUUGUCUAGGGUCCGAGAGGGGUUGUACUUCUCGGACCGAAACGAUUGAAUCUUGUGCGUAGAAAAUAUUUAAUGAAUAUUUAUAGCCGUUGAUUUUAAGUACGAUCUAGUAUGAUCCAAUACGAACCUAUGAAUUUAUAAAUUAAAGUACGAACAUAGUAAAAAUAGGUCGUACACACAUUGUACUGUGUUUAAAUUACUUUAUUGCCCUUGUAUAUACAUCAAAUCAAUUAAUUUAAAAGAACCAUUAAUUCAAUUUAUUAAUAAACGUAAGAAAAACUAAAGUUGUCAAAACUUUUCCCAAAUCAAAAUUCUCAUCCCUAGUCGCCAUCGGAUACAUUUCUUCCUCAAUCUCACCGUCACCAUCGCCAAACUCAACCUCACCCUCCUAGCAUUUAAAUUACCUUCUCUUCUAUUGACUUUUGAGGUUUGCAGGAAUUUGGUUUUCUGCUUAUUGCUGAUAAUUUGAGGGGAAACCUUUCCAACUGCCUAACCCACUCUCUCUCUCUCUUACACACACAAAAAAAAAAAAAAAAAAAAAAAAAAAAACAAUAUUAACAAACAGUUUUAAGUUAAUUCGAACGUGAUUUUUUAUAAUUAUUUUUUUGUUCAUAGUGCCUCUAAUUACUAGGAUGUUGUGUGUUUACGUAUCACAAUUUUAUCAUAUAUAAGCGAUAUUAUGUUUAUUACCAACCUUGAUGUGCUAUAAAGUUGCAGAUGCAACAGUUGAAGAAAAGCAAGAAGACGAUGAAGAGAAUGUGCCUUUGAUACAUUCACUUAAGAGGACAAGAGAGACCAGACAAGGACAGUAGAUGCGAAAACCUCAAUUUAAAGUUAUUUCAUAGUUUUUGGUUUGCUGUUGUAUAUCUUUUCUAAUUUUUGGAUUUUGUUGGCAUUAGUUGGUGGAGAGAGAAAAAAUAUGAAGAAAAAAAUAUUACUCAGAGAGUUUUGAUAAAAAAAAAAAAAAAAAGAUGAUUAGAGUUUACAGUAAAUUAAAGAAGAGAAGAAGAUGAUGGCGUAAGAUUUGUAUUUUAAUUAAAGAUUACGAUCGUUUUUUAUAUUAUAAGCAGUGAUCGAAUUUUACUUAUUAAUUUUAAUACAUUUGUUUUUGGAAAAAUCAUUAAUAUUUAAUAUUUAAUUAAGUUUUAGUUUUAUGGGUAUUUAUGUAAUUUUAUUAGUAACCCAUGCUUCGUACUUUUUUUAAUGGGGUUCGUAUUAAUCAUACGUGUCACAUUUUUAUUGGUUGAUAUUCAAUCGUUUGGGUCCGAGUAGUACAGACCCUCUCGGACCCUAGACAACCCCAACAAACUUUACAACUUAAAAAAACCAUACUCAACUUUACAAAUCUCUUUGGGGGUUGCUAUUAUCAGUGCGGUUUUUACCACUCGCAGUGCAAAAUAAUUCUUUUUUUUUUUUUUUCAAAUCUUAUCCAAAUCUUCUCUCAAACACUCUCAACCUUUUAUUCUUGAAAAUUUUCAAUUUUAGUAAUUUUUCGACCAAUAUCAAUUAGAGCAGAAGUAUUAUCGACAUGGAUGACAACGACUUCGAUUUUGAUGUGAAAAUACACGUUUUUUGUUCAUUUCCAACGUUUUUAGAGAUUUCGUGUUAUAACACACGAAAUAUAUGCUUUCAUUUCGUGUAAUACUAUACGAAAUAUGUCUUAAAAUCGUUAGUUGUUUGUUUCGUAGACAAUCAGACGAAAUGGAAGCUUACAUUUCGUGGUAAAACCUACGAAAUGGAAGCUAUUAUUUUGUGUGUGUUUACACGAAAUGUAGGUUACAUUUCGUAUGUUUUUCUACCUAAUCCCUUAAAUAUUGUCUUUUAAUUUUAAAUAUUUAUGCAGGAACUAAGAGAACAAUCUCACGAUCAUAGUCACUUCUUUGAACGUGGUAUUGUGUGUGAUAGUAGAGAAGCGUUAAUCAUGUGGGCAAAAGACACAGCAAUUAGUCAUAAUCAUCGACUGAUUAAUCAUUGUAAAUCAUAAAAACAUCAUGUUUUAACGUGUGCAAAAUAUCAAUCUGGACGACACGUACUAUUGAAGAAACAUUCUUGUCCGUUCAGGUUAAUUGGCAAAAAAUCAACGGAGGAUGGAUUAUGGCGAGUGUGAGUAAUGGUAAUCAUAACCAUCUGCCGGGUAUUUGAAAGUUUAACUUAUGUUUAAAUUUAUAUUUGUUGUAAUUUUGCAUUCAAACUUAUGUUUUGGAAUAUUUAAAUUUGUAGCGUUGUGUUUUGUAUUUUAUAUGUUUAACCUAUGUUUUUGGAAUGUAUUAAAUUUGUAAGAUUGUUUGUAAGGUUGUUUAAAUAUGUACUUUAAUUGCUUCAGUUGUACGUAGUUUCUAAAUUCAAAUAAUAAAACUAGUGAAUUAAAAUACAAAACAACAAACUAGUAAAUUAAAUAGUUCGUAAUAAUAAUAAACAAAAUUAGUAAAAUAAUUAGUUCCUAAUUAAAAAUAAAAAUAAAUUAUUAAAUUAAAUAGUUCCUAACAAUAAUAAAAAUGCAUAGUCCUAAUAAUAAUAAAAAUAAACUUUAAAAUUAAAUAGUUCAUAAAAAUAUAUAACUGGCAAAAAAAACCGAUAAACUACCGCCUCGCUCUCCUCGGCGGCUGCACCUCAUGAUCGGCGUCAUCGUCGUCGUCGUCGUUGUCGUUCGCACGGUCGAUGCCAAGAUAUCGGGCGGCGGGCUGCAUAAUAUCUCCAAGAUCGGCACGUAAAUCGGCAAACUGUUGCAUCCAGUGUUGUCCAGUGCUCCUGGUGAUCGGGUACAGGGCACGUACUACCUGGUAAUAAGCCGGCUGAUCUGGUGGCCUCACAUUCUCUUGAUUCACUGGAGCCGGGCCUACGUCGGGGUUGUUGAUCUUCGGAUGAGUCCGAUCGGUGUACCACUCCAUGUAGUGCUCGUCGACUUCCCCCCGUUGUCGUGCCGUCUUGUAUGCGCGGGCGCGAAUGGAAUGAGCCUGGACCAUGUCCCACAUCCCACCCGGAAAUGGGUAGUUGACUUUGUACGAUGUACCUCCUUUGGGACCGCGUGAACAUGGCUCCAUCGACGGAAUCAAGCCGCGCGGUAUAUCCUGAACCCACCCGAACUGUCGGACGCAACGAUCAGGCAUAUACGGCUCUACGACCCACAUGUACUGGAUCGUGCCAUGAUACAACGUACGAGGGAUACUCUCGUGUAUAUCCCGACCAUACGGUAGCCACUCGACCUAAACAGAAAACAAUAUAAAUACAUAAAUCAAAAAAAUCAUAUUUAAACAAACUACAAACAUAAACCGAAAAAUUCAUAUUUAAAAAAAUAUAAAUACAUAAAUAUAAAAGACUUACAUCAUCCGCUGUCAUAUUGUCGAGUAAACCUCGAAUAUGCUCGAGCGUGCCCGCUUUUGGCGGCGCGUUCCACCUCUUGCAUCGAGGUUGAAACUCGCGGUAGCGCUCGCUCUCCUCCGGCGGCUGGAAUCUCGGGAAAUACUCGUAUAUCCAGCACUGCAAUAUUUUAUUUAAAGAUAUUAAAAUAUAUUAAAAUGAACAAAAUAAGUUCAAAAUAUAUUAAAAUUUACCUGAAGAAGGGUGGUGCAACCCGCCAAGCCCCUCGACUGUGCUCUACUGCAUAUACCCAACUCUCUGUAUAGAUUGGCCAAACAGGCCGAACCCCACGAAUACGUGCCGACCUGAUCAAGCACUGAAUCCUCGAGCACAUGCAUAUACCACGGUUUCACCCGAUCACAAGUCUUGUUGGGGAAUAAAUCGAUCCGAGGAGAAACACCAGGUAUAUCUGAACUCGGCGUCUCAUGGGCGUGUCGGGCAUCAACAACUGUCCCUGUAUCAUCCUCCAUGUGGGGCCCCCAUGCUUCCAUGACUCGUCAAUCUCCUCAAACUCGAGGUUAAAGGCCUCGGACAGCAAAUACACGCAGUUUGUCCGCUCGAUGACCUCGUCGUACCUAGGCGCGACCACCCGUCCCUCCACAUUGGCACCUAGAAUCAUCUGGACAUCGUGGAGAGUGAUAGUCAUCUCUCCCCACGGCAUAUGGAAGUUGUUCGUCUCCGGCUGCCACCGCUCCACGAAUGCAAACAACAGCGGAGUAUCUAGGCCCGGUAAAUAACAUCGGGCUAGGGGAUACAAACCGGUCAUCCGCAGAAAAUGCUUGUCUACGGAUACAUCUAUGCCUUCUAGGGCAGCUGCUAUCUUCUCGUAGUUGAAUUGGUUCGGGGAGUUGAUACGGGACUCCACUCGUCCAACCGGACGUUCCUGCAAUCAUUUAUUUAGAAAACAUAUUAAUUAAUCAACUAUAAAAAUAUUUUAAUAUAAGAUACAAAAAUUAUAAUAUUAAAAUUAAAACAAGUAAUUAACUUACUUCUCCCCUCCAAAUAUAUGCCGCUACGUACGACUUGAAACUCGGUAUCAAAGACGGAUCCCGCGGGCCACCGGGAAAUGGAUCAUCUAGCACAUCCGGAUUGACUCGAGUAUGAGGUCGACCACCACGACCUCCACGGCCCCGUCCUCGGCCUCCACGACCUCUACGACCUCCACGAGCUACAACCUCAGUCUCGUGAACGGGGUCCACAGCAUCCUCCUCUUCCUCCUCCUCCAUAGCACGAGAAGACCCAACAUCGGGAUGUGGAACUGAUGAUCUGGCUUCACCAGCUCUCCCAGCCUCUCGCCUACGUCGUGUAGACAUAGUCAUGCGCUCGCGCUCGCGCUCUUGAUGUUCAGCCUCUUCACGAACUGCUCACAUAAUUGCACUUGAUUUCCCUUUGGCUGCCAUCUGUUAAAUAAAACACUAUUAACAUCAGUCUAAAUAAUAAUAAUAAAUAAAAUAAAUCUUAAAAAAAAAAUGAACCGUGCUAUUUCACUGUCAUUUCGUGGACAAACACACGAAAUUAGUGCCUCCAUUUCGUGUAAGAACACACGAAAUACAAGCACUAAUUUCGUGUGCUUGUCCACGAAAUGACAGUGAAACAGCCAAAACACAUACGUUUCGUGUACAUUUAUACGAAACAAAAGUUUACAUUUCGUGAGAAAUCUCACGAAAUGUAAGCUUGUGUUUCGUGUAAUCGUUCACGAAACGUAAGAAAAACAAACAAAUACGAUUAUUUCGUGUAAAAACUCACGAAAUUAGCCCCUUAAUUUCGUGAGUUUCUACACGAAAUGUAACUUUAUUUCCGAAAACUUUCGAAUGUUUUCAAAAUACUCAAAACGUAUAGAUUUUCGACGAAAUUUGUUAAUAUACUACUAUAAAAACAUUGGGUCAAUGAUUUCGAGUUCGAAUUUUACCUUAAAUCGUUGUUGAAUUGCUCGUUUAAUCCGCAAGAACUCGAAGAACCUUGGAUAGGGUUUGAGAGAAUUUUGAAUUUUCUUAAGAAAAGUUACAAAUAAAAUAAAUUCGUACUGCAAGCCGGUAAAAGUUGUUCUAUGAAUGGCAUUUCAGAUCUCUUUUUAUCCAAAAAACUCAUAAAGAAUGUGGUCCACAAAAUUGGAACAUGGCACAUGGGUAAAACAUUUAACAAAACAUUUGUCUUUGUCCUUUUUGGAAUAAAGCCAAUAACCACUACAUUGAUUUACAUAAAACAAACCCUAAAAGAAAUCAAGCACAGUUAAAUAAUUUCCUUACUGUAAUAUGGAGUAUUUCACGCCAUCUCUAGCUUCUUGUAACUUCCAAACCAUGUUGAAAUUGUUCAUGUCCUGCUAAAUUUGUUAAUUUUUUGAUGAAGUGAAAAACCCUAGAUUUGUAAUUUGGGAGUAAAUUGAAUUAUGUUAAAAUGUAAAGUGUGAAGUGAAGAAUCGAAUUAGGACAGGUAAACGAACAAUUUGAUUUGGCGACAUUGCCCCUCAAUUCUCACGUGUACCGACCAUGUGCAACUCAGGGAACUUUUUAGCCAAAAAUGGAGUUUUAAGUGACCAAUGCAAUGAAUUAGUAAGUCCAGGUAUGAUCGUGCAAUUAUUAUUUUUGUUUGGAGGACAAAGCGUAAAGCGACCAACCUACGGAGGUAAAAUGCACUUAUAAUCCAUAAAUAGUUAAAUAUGUUAGAAGAGUUAAUACAUAACCUCUAUUAUUAUAGUUGAGGCCUAGGGUUUGAAUCAUGCCCCUCUCCCUGCCUCCCCAAUUUGCAACAUGAUUUGAAUUUCUAAAUAAAUAAAUAAAAUAAUGUUACAUAUGGUUUGAUUAAAAAAAAAAGUACGACAUAUUGAUUUAUUAUUGGCAACUUUACUUGAAUUACAUGUUGCACGGGAGAAUUACACUUUUGGUCCCUCAUGUUUGGCCCGAUUUCACUUUUGGUCCCCUUGUUCCAAAGUGAACAAAGUUCACCUCCAAGUUUCAAUUUUAAACACUUUUGGUCUCUGCCGUUACAUGUCCGUCAGCAAGUAACGGUAAACACUAUUUUGGGGUGAAAAUUGAAAUUUUAAAUUUUUUUGGAGCUGAAAAAUAAUUAUAAAUUUAAAAUAGACUACUUAUAAUUAAUAUUUUAAUAAUAUUAAGUAUAAUGAAAUUUAUUUAGUUAAUUUUUUUUUUAUUAUUAAAAAAAUAAUCAUAAGUAGUAUAAUUAAAACUAAUAUUAAGUAUAAUUCAGGGAAAAUUACAUUUUACGUCCUCAAACAUUACCCAUUUUUUCAAAAUUGUCCCUAAACAUUUUGAAGUUACAAUAGUCUUCCUUAAUCAUGCCAUUUUUUAACAAAAUCAUAUCCAGUUAAGUUGGACGGAAAAUGAAUGUGCCCCUCACGUGACAUUGAAAUACCACUUACUUGAGUUGAGUUACUCUUACACUUCUGAACAUUGUUUUACAACAUUGAAACUUAAACCUCACUUCCCCAAAUUUUAUAUUUGAAAACCCUAAGAAAUCGGAACCCAAAAUCCCUAGAAAUUGAAGGAGAAUGAACGCAAUCUUUAGAACCGAAAACUAGGUGAAAAAUCCCUUCGGGUUUUGGGGGAACCCUAAUUCCAGGAGAUUCGAAGGAGAAACAAUAGAUUUGUAGAAGAAACGGAAUAAAAGGAGAAAUGGCUCGAAGAACCAAUGGUGGUCUGGAUUUUACUCCGAAUUAUGGUAAUUUUUCUUGUCCAUUGGCUAUAUUUUUGUUAAUUUCGGUGGUGUGAUGUGUGUUUAGUCGUUGAUUGGUUGUUUAGUUUGUUUGUUUUGUGUUUUUUUUGUCUAUAAACAAAUUAAUUAAUGUAGUUGCAAUGGGGGACGAUAGCCUUUUUACAAUGAAAACUAGGCAUGGUGGGAUAAUGAAUCAUAUACCAAAAAGAGAGUAUUUAGGGGGUGCUAUAGACUAUUUUGUUCUUGUUGAUCCAGAUCAAACUAGUUGCUUAAUGUAUGGGGUUUUGUUAAGGAGUUAGGAUACAAUGAUCAUACUACUCUCAAGUUUUGGAUUAUAUAUGAAAAAAACUUCAAUACACAACGUAAACAAAUUUUCACAGAUGGUGAUGUGUUCGAUAUGAGAAAAUAUAUUCCGAAAAUUACAACUAGGAGUAAAUUACAGGUUUGAAAAUUGUGAUUGCACUCUCUCUUUUUUUUUUUUUUUUUUUUUUUGCUAUUACUUUUAAUUAUAGUUAUACUUCAUAAUUUAAAAAGAAAUAUUCUUUAUACAGGUGAGGAGGCCUGAGGUUCAAAAGAACGCAAAUAUGAGAAGGAACACAUGAGCAAUAAUGACUCAUUUCUGACCAGCAAAUCUUCCCCAUUCAUCAAUGCUCCCAUGAUUGUGAAAGGAGGCAUGAUUUUAAAACAAUGUCUAAUUUAAGGUCAAGUCUAACAAAUGCCUCCAAUCCAACUCCAAGUCAGAAUGCAUCAUUCCGGAUUCCUAUGCCAAUUCUAUAUCAAAUACAUCUCCCUCUCACUUGCUUCAAAUCCAGUUCUCGCUCACUUGCUUCCAAAUCCAGUUUUGUCGCAUUUGAUAGUUCAGGGGGCUAAAUGCGACAGUGACAAUAGUAAGGGGUGCAAAGUGUAUUUAACCCUAAUUUUAAUAAUAUUAAGUAUAAUAAAAAAUAAUGGGGUUAUAUGAGAUAACCCCUCAUACAAAUUUUGUAGAGGUAUAAAUCCAUAUUUUUAUUUACUAUUAGGGAUAACCCCUUAUUAAGGUUAAUACUGUUCUAAAUAGUAUGGAAUGUGUGGUUUCCUAACAUAACCACUUGAUGGUUUUCAACUUCCCACUAGUUUAUUAACUUCCCAUAUCUGUAUAUGGUGUCAGUGGCGAUGUAACUUCUACGUAACUUCCACAUGUAACUCUUUUUUAACUUCCCGGUGGCUACCACCUAUAUAAAUGAGAAACACUCCCUCCCCACGUAUCACACAAUUUUCUCUCUACGGAUUCUUGUUCUUUGCAUUCUCUCUUUCUCUCUUUGUCUUGUUAUUUACAUUCUUAUGUAUUUCCACAAACACAAACCAAAGAGCUAGAUAAAUAGGCCAUUUUACAACACGUUAUCAGCACGAAAUGCUUGUUGUGAUCGUGGAAAGACAAUCGUUCGUGGGACUAGGAUACUUGAAGAAUUUGUGAUUCAGGUGCUCGUGAAAAAUGAACCAUUUUUGGCACGUGGAUGCUUGAAGAACUUGUGAUUCGAGUUCGUUCGUAAAAUGGUAAUCUUGUUCGAUGAAUACAAUAUAUUCUUCAACAUUUGGGUUUAAGCGUUUCAAGUAAGCCGUAAUCUCUUGCAAUUUCGAUUUCGUAAGAGAUGCACUAGAUCUAUUUAAUGGCAUGAAAUGCAUGAAGUACAUAUUUAUCUUCAAGUCAUUACUUCAUUUAUCCUGUGGAUAAUUUCAAAAUAUGAUGUGAUUUGUAAUUAUUGGAAGCAUGCUUAAUUAUGUUAUAGUAUGGUAUAAAUAUCACAAUGAUUGUUUUUGGAAUGUGGUGUAGCAAAUUAUUUUAUCAUUUGCAUUCAUUCCGGAUUCAAUGAAUAGCGACGAUAAAUGUGUGAUUGUAUAUUGUCAAAAGAUUAUAGUACCUUGUUGGUUUAUUUCAUGUUUCGAGGAUUUGAUAUGAAAUUGUAUUAUGAAUGUUUUAUCAUAAUAUUUAGAAUACAGUGCACUAAGAAGCUUAUGAAUAAAUAUGCAUUGUAGAAUGAGGGGUGAAUAUAUUUGAUGAUGAAUGUGAAAUUGUUUAUGUUUCUUACUGAACGUGAUUGUAGCCAUAUUAAUAGAAUUUUUUUUCUCGGUUGAAUUUGUAUUGCAUGAAUUGUUAGAAAAUAUUGCUACAAUAACUUGGUCAUUUCAUUUUAAGAUGAUCUAAUGCACUGCUGAUACUUGAUAGCAUUAUGGAUCUAUUUAGUUAAUUCAUGAUUACCCACCGGAAUAAUUUCAGAAUUAGUUCGUGGAAUUUAUAUGAGAUUGUACAUGCUAUAUAUUGUUUAUAUUAUUUAGCAUGUUAUAUUUUAUAUAUUUGACGAUUUACAAAAUCUUAAUUGCAUGAAGAUUUUGGUCCAUCUCUAAUGGAGAAUUCUAUUCAAUUGAUCCAUAUCUGCCAUAUAUAAUUUUGUGAUAUGAAAAUGGUAAACAAUAUUUCGUUCGCCGUUAUGGUUUAUCGUAUGUAAUCCAUGAAUGUGUAUGAACAUGUGGUGUAUGAAUUAUUAGACCGGAAGUUCUAAUAUGUGCAAAAUAUUCAUGAAAUUGUUUAUGGAGGUUACAUUCCCAUAAAACAAUAAUACUCCUUAUUGUAUUUGAUUUGAGAUAAAACACAUGAGCAAACUCAAGUUUACCCAACUUAAUGUAUCUGGUAAAAGUUAUAUUAGUUGGAGUAUGGGUGUUAAGAUCCAUACGCUUAGUGGCCAAUUGAGAAUGAUUGUUUUCGAGGAUAAUUUAUUAGGUAAAGCCCAGAAGGUUGAGACUAUGUUCUGAUUACGAGAUAAUUAGAUGAAAUCCUUCGUCUGGACUAUUCAUCAAACGAUGGGUUCCCAUAAAGAAUGGGAUAACCUGACUAGUCAUUUUGAUUACCAAAAGACAAUAUACUUGCCGGAAGAUAGGAACAAGUGAAUUCAUAAACGAUUUGUAUAUGAAUUUUAAAAUCCGAAUAUAGCUCAAAAUCAGAACAUAGAUAUAUGUUUUAUAUAUGGUGGAUCUAAGAAUUGGUCACGCACCUGAAGUGCGAGGAACGUUGGGGCUGGAGAUGCAAAUAAUAAUGCACCAGCAUAGACUGAGUUAGUAGAGGUAAUUUUUUUUCAAUAUAUAGUCCAUCGCUCAGCUUCCAUACUUGGGCACAUCUGACCAAAUAACCCAUGUUGGGAUAUGAUUGAACUGUUGAUUUCAUGAAUUAUGUUUAUUUCAUUACUCGGGUUUAUUAGUUUAUUGAAUUUCAAUCAUCUUACUUCAUAUGCUCAUGUUAGGAACCAUAUUCAUAUUUUGAUUAUGUCUAGUUUAUGCUCUAGACCAGAUAUUUAUGCUCUAAGUUAAUUAUUAUGUUAUUCAGUGGUUUUUGCUUGAUGAAUUUAUUUAGUACCUGAAGUACUGAAUAUAUAUGAUUAGAUUUAUAUAACUCUAUAGACAUGACAUGUGGGGAUAAAUGUCUGGCAGAUAGUGCGACAACACAUACUAUCCUGAGAGAUAUGUCGUACUUAAUUAAUUUCAUGUCUAUUUGUAGCAAGACCUCUUUGAUAACUAAAUGAGGCACAUGUAGUUUUGAUAGAUGGUUAUGAUAAUGUCCGAAUUAUGCAUCUCAUGGCACAAUUUUGCCCAUUAAAGUAGCUCAUUUUUUUCUCCACGUUCCAGUAGAACGUUGUUAAACUUUAAAGAUAUUUGAGUUAAUGAUUAUUUUGUUGAAACCAUUGAACACAAGAAAUUGAUAUGUGCAUCAUCUCUAACGUGUACGGCCACAAGCAUACAUUGGGAAAAUUAGAGGAAUUUUCAAACACGGUUAUAUAGAACAACAAUUUGUAUGCCAGAAGCAUAAGUUGUCGAUUGCUCAAAGUUAAGUAAUUUGAUUAUAUGUCAGCAUACGCACAUACAUGUAAUGAUUCAAUUCAUUUCUUGGAGGUAAUCCAAUGAGAUAUAUGUGAACUAUGUAUCACCAUCUUCAACUAAAAUUUAGAACCUUAGACAGUCGAUCUUUUACCCGCUCAAAUUGCGGACUAUCACUUUGAUGAGACUGUCUUCCCGCCGUUAGGGGUAGGAAAGAACGUCCACACUACCGUUCCUGAAGAACGGCGUGAAAUCGUGUGGGACGACCCCACCGUGUCUCAUCAAGAUCCCCUACAUCAGAGAAUUGAUACAUAGAUUAAUAGAUCAUCCAUACUAACGUUCCUGAAGAACGACGUGAAGUCAUGUGGGAUGAUAAUAUACAGUUGCAAGUAAUGUGCAUCGUAACGUUCCCGAAGAACGGCGUCAAGUCGUAUGCGACGACUUAGAAAUCUGCAAAGAACGUCUAUACUAAUGUUCCUACAGAAAAAUAUGAAGUCGUGUAGAACGAAUAAUGCUAAACUUAUUCUCUGAUUUGAAAAAGUGACGAGAUCUCAAAUAAGCCAGCAAUGAUAGAUGUCCUAGAGUGAUAAAAUAUGGGUAGGCCAUCAAUCCCUGCUAACCAAUCUUGCCUCCCUGCCUAGAAGAGAGGGAGAGCAAUGGGAUCAAAGGAUUCUCAUCUCCAGAAGAGAAUAAUGCCCAACAUCGAAUCCGGUUAGCACAAGUACCAAUGGGAUCCCACCUGAUCCAUCUCAUAAAACAAUUCUAGAAUAUGGAUUCGUCUAGGAGACGAAGUCGGGGGACGCCUCGACAUCAAUAUCCAUUCCCGAGAAUAGGAAAAUCUCAGUUAGUUAUUCAUGCAAAUGAGAUGUUGUAUCAGGCUGAAAUGAUCAUCGAUGACAAAUUUCCUUACACAGUAGCUACUGAACUUUUUAUUGGGUGAUGAUAUAUAACCUUGAUCAUAUAAGUGUAAACAAAGGGAUGGUCCGCCGAAAUGAGAAAAUAAACAAUACGAGCUGAAUUUGAUUCCUUGAUAAAAUGAAGAGUGUAGAGACCAGUAGUUCAUACAACUCCUUGAAUUUCACCCAUGGAAUAUAAGUGAGUACUCACAAAGGAAUGAAAUGAGAUUGGGAACCAGAAGAUUCAUCUCAUAGCUCAAAUGAGAUUAGGAACCAGAAGAUUCAUCUCAUAGCUUAAACGAGAUUGGGAGACAGGAGACUCAUCUCAUAGCUCAAGGAAUGAAAUGAGAUUGUGAACCAGAAGAUUUAUCUCAUAGCUCAAAUGAGAUUGGGAACUAGAAGAUUCAUCUGAUAGCUUAAACGAGAUUGGGAGCCGGGAGAGCUCAAUCAAUGAAAUGAGAUUGGGAACCAGAAGAUUCAUCUCAUAUCUCAAAUGAGAUUGGGAACCAGAAGAUUCAUCUCAUAGCUCAAAUGAGAUUGGGAACCUGAAGAUUCAUCUCAUAGCUUAAACGAGAUUGGGAGCCAGAAGACUCAUCUCAUAGCUCGAACGAGAUUCGGAGCCAGAAGACUCAUCUCAUAGUAUAAUGAUUUAUGGGCAAAUGAGAUUGGGAGCUCGAAGACUCAUCUCAUAAUUCAAGAAUUCCUCACCAUCAUGAGAUUGAUUUUAAAGAGGUAUAAUCUUUCAUGGUGAAUGUUAUUAAAUACGUGGUCACAAAGUAUCUACUGAGAAUCUAGAUACAAGUAUUUAUAUGAAAGUUCCAGAAGGACUUCGAUUUCCCGAAGCAAUUAGUUCCAGAUCACGGAACAUAAACUCAGUUGGGCUGAGACGUUCACUUUAAUUAUGACUAGCAAUAUUCCAGAAGAAUAUAGGACAAUUGCCUAAGUGAACAAUUGUUCGGAAGAGAAUAUGUGAACAAUAACUGGUUUUGAUUGUUCCUAUUACUAUGUUUAUAUAAAGGACAAAAACUUGAUUUAGACUAGAAGUCAAGUAAGAAAAACUCAAUUGUUGAAAAUUUGAGUUCAAGAUCAAAUAUCUAAAUGAGACUAAUUUGUUGUCUCUACCAACUUAAAUUUUUUCAUGUCAAUUAUAUUUAUGUCCAUCAAUCGAAUUACAUCGAGAAGAUGUUAUGGAUAAAGAUAUAUUAUCGAGUAACACCUAUGGGAGUUGGAAACUGGAAUAGGUCCAAUGAUUCAUUCCGUCCCAUGGAGAAGGACGAGGAAGUGUUAGCACCAGAAGUGCCAUAUGUAAAUGCAAUAUAUGCACUAUUAUGCUUAACUCCAUGUACUCGAUAUGAUUUAGCUUUUUCGGUAAAUUUAUUAGGUAGACUUAUCUCACCUUACCGACACCCCUAUACAUCAAUGAAUGAUGCGAAAACUUGUGAUUUAUAUUGGCAUUGACUAGAAGUCAUAUCCACACAAAGAUCAUUCCCAAUCUAUGGUUUAGUAUUGAGAAAACAGCUAUGUCUUGGGGUUCUAUGAAAUGUACCUUAGUUGUGACUAGGUCAAAUCAUGCAUGAUGUUUGCUUCAUGAGAUAGUGAGUGAAUGCACAUGGCCUGAAGCCAUGAUUAGGCAUGUUCGAGAUUUUUGUGAAUUGGCUGCCACAAAAGAUCCUAAGAGAUUGUAUUUAACUGCAUUGAGCAAAUGAAGACGAGCUUCAUUAAAUGUGACAACUCCAAGAACAUAGUUAUGAGGUUUUCUUCAAUCAACAAUAAUGAGAGCUCAAACAAUAAUGAUUCAGUAGAUCAUGAAACAUGAUAACUACGCUGACUUAUUCACUAAGUUUUCGCCUAAAGUCACUAUGGAAAAGUAUGUUAAGGAUGCUGACUUGCGUAGAUUAUACAAGCUCGCUCCCUUGUAGACAUCAGGGGGAGUUAACUUGAGGGGGAGUACCCUGUAGGUACUCAGUAUCCAGAAGAUACCCGAGUGCCCUGUUGUACUCUUUUUCCUUCGUGCGAGGUUUAUUUUUCCCACAGGGUUUUAGUUACUCGACAAGGUUUUAAUAAGGCAACAUUUGUUGAUUGAAAAGAUUGUGCGUUGUACUCUUUUCCCUAACCGAGAUUGUUUUUUCCCAAUGGGUUUUAUGACUCGGAAGGUUUUAACGAUGCAACACAAAAAGCACAAUAGUGGUUUGAUAGGAACCCAAGGGGGAGUGUUGUAAAUAGUAUGGAAUGUGUGGUUUCCUAACAUAACCACUUGAUGGUUUUCAACUUCCCACUAGUUUAUUAACUUCCCAUAUCUAUAUAUGGUGUUAGUGGCGAUGUAACUUCUACGUAACUUCCACAUGUAACUCUUUUUUAACUUCCCGGUGGCUACUAUAAAUGAGAAACACUCCCUCCCCACGUAUCACACAAUUUUCUCUCUACGGAUUCUUGUCUUUGCAUUCUCUCUUUCUCUCUUUGUCUUGUUAUUUACAUUCUUAUGUAUUUCCACAAACACAAACCAAAGAGCUAGAUAAAUAGGCCAUUUUACAACAAAUACCUCAUUUUCCCUUAUUAUAUUAUUAUUGCUAAAGUAACUCCCCUAAAAUAGCUCCCCUUAAAUCUCUCACCAACUCCCCCAAAAUCUAUCUCAGAAUGCAAAUCACGUAUAAUUUCAGUUUUUCUUUUGAUUCUUUUUACAAUCUUUUUGUAAUUUCGAUUUAAAAAAUAUAAUUUUUUUUUUCAAUUUCAUUUUUUUUUAAUUGGUUUUUUACCCAAGUUUAACAAAAACUGAAAUCCACUAGAUACUCAUUGAAAACCACUAUAAAUUUAUCUUUUACAAUUUUUUUGUAAAAAUAUAUUUUUUUUUUCAAUUUUCAUUUUUUUUAAUUGGUCAUUUUUACCGCAAGUUUAACAAAAACUUGAAAUCCACAACAUACUCAUUGAAAACCACUAUAAAUUCAUCGAGAACAACUAUUCGAUUAACGUAGAAAUCAGUAUGAAAUUAUCGUAAUCAACUUUAAUAUUAAUAUAAUGCACUACAAACGUAUCGAAAUCGAAUAAAAAUUUACAUAAUCCACUACAAAUUAACGUAAUCCAUUACAAAAUUAUCAAAAUCCACUACAAAGUUAUCAAAAUCCACUUUAUAGGUUAAAGUAAUCCAGUACAAAAUUAACGUAAUAUAUGGAUUGAAAUCCACUACAUACUCAUUGAAAACAACUAUAAAUUCAUCGAAAACCACUAUUCGAUUAACGUAGAAAUCAAUAUGAAAUUAUCGUAAUCAACUUUCAUAUUAAUAUAGUGCACUACAAACGUAUCGAAAUCGAAUAAAAAUUUACAUAAUCCACUACGAAUUAACGUAAUCAAUUACAAACUUAUCAAAAUCCACUAAAAGUUAUCAAAAUCCACUUUAUAGGUUAAAGUAAUCCACUACAAAAUUAACGUACUAUAUGGAUUGAAAUCCACUACUUGUUCAUUGAAAACAACUAUAAAUUCAUCGAAAACCACUAUUCGAUUAACGUAGAAAUCAGUAUGAAAUUAUCGUAAUCAACUUUCAUAUUAAUAUAGUGCACUACAAACGUAUCGAAAUUGAAUAAAAAUUUAUAUAUUCCACUACGAAUUAACGUAAUCCAUUACAAAAUUAUCAAAAUCCACUACAAAGUUAUCAAAAUCCAAUUUAUAGGUUAAAGUAAUCCACUACAAAAUUAAUGUAAUAUAUGGAUUGAAAUCCACUACAUACUCAUUGAAAAUAACUAUAAAUUCAUCAAAAACCACGAUUCGAUUAACGUAGAAAUCAGUAUGAAAUUAUCGUAAUCAACUUUCAUAUUAAUAUAGUGCACUACAAACGUAUCGAAAUCGAAUAAAAAUUUACAUAAUCCACUACGAAUUAACAUAAUCCAUUACAAAAUUAUCAAAAUCCACUGCAAAGAUAUCAAAAUCCACUUUAUAGGUUAAAGUAAUCCACUACAAAAUUAACGUAAUAUAUGGUUAAUCCACUAAAAGUUAUCGUAGAAAAACACUUAUGCAUCAUACAACAAACUUAUCAAAAUCCGCUACAAGCUUCCGAAUUUAUGAUAGUGUUGCUCGUGGUUUUCGUUAGGUUAGUGUGACCCGGUGAUAAACACUACAAACUUAUCAUCACCCAACAUCGUCUCACUUGCUGCCUUCACCCGCUUGUGCAAGAACAUAAACCAAAGAAAAAUAAGACAACAACGUGUCAAUUUAUUUCAUUCACUAAAAUUCGGUCUCCAAAGCAAGCAUUUAAAAUCCACUAUAAUCUCGUCAAAACCCACUACAAAAAUUAUCGAAAUCCACUAAAAUAUUAACAUAAUCUACUACGAAAUAAUUUAAUCCACUAAAAUAUUACAACAAAAGUAUAAUAACAAAUAUUCAAAUAGUGACCGAAAACAUGAAGGAGCCUCAAAAGUAUAUUGAAAAUCUCAUGUAUAUAAUAGCUCAUUCAACAAUUCGACUAGUUGUCACUUCUAUUUUGUUAACCAUCAUAUAGAAUUUAUUUAUGGAUAUAACGAAAAAAUGACAGCAAAAAAAAUAGCAGCAAAGCAACACGAAAACAACAACAAAACAGCAACAAAAUCAGCUGCAAAUUAGGAGCCAAACAGCAGCAAGGCCAAAAGAAAACAGCAGCAAAAACAGCAGCAAAAAACAGCAGCAAAAACAGCAGCAAAAAACAGCAGCAAAAACAGCAGCAAAAAACAGCAGCAAAGAACAGCAGUAAAAUAGCAGCAAAACAACAGCCAAUUGCAGCUACAAAAUACAAUAAAUAAAUUAUAAUUCUAAAUUUUCAGAAAAAAAAUAUCCAAAAUUUGAAAAUAUUUUUGGAAAUAAUGGAAUUUUCGAUAAUAUUUAGUGCUUCACCUUAUUAAUUCGUAUUGUAUUCCUUACCAAAAAUUAUCAAAUUUCAAAACCAAAACAUGUUUGAAAUCAGACAUUAUCAAAUUUCAAAACCAAAACAUGUUUGAAAUCAGAAAAAUUUAUAUAAAAAAAAUCUGAAAUAAUGGGAUGAAAAAUCAAAAAACCUAAAGCGACGAAGCAUUUUCGCAUACCUUAUAAUCAACAACGGCCGACGAGAACGAGAACCAUAUAGAGGGAAUGAGACAAAUCGUUCUGCGUUUUGGGAAAACAUACCAACUUCGUGGGUAAGCGGAUCUCGUCAGCGAGUGAGAAGACGAUUAAUAGGAUGGACAGAUCUGGUAGUAUGUAACGAGGGACGGCGGCCGAGGAGGAGAAGGGCGGAGAUGGUGUGGUCAUCCGGUGAGGCGGCGAGGUUGUGGAGCGAGAUUAUGGCGUGAUUGUGGAGAGAAGGAAGGAAGAAGAUGAAGCGAGGUUGUGGGGCGAGCGUGAUUAUUUCGUGAUUGUGGAGAGAAGGAAGGGAGAAGAGGAAUAAGUGAAGGGACGUGUUUCGGGUUUGAGUAGGUUAAAAAAAUUCAGAAAGGGUAUAACAGGUUAUUAAUAAUAUAAUUUGUUUAAGGGGUAAGUAUAGAUAAAUCCCCAAAUACAAACUUAAAGCGCGGAUCAGUCCCUACAGACGUUUUAUAGGCGGAUCAGUCCCUACUGCAGAGUUUCACAUGCAGUUCAGUCCCUAUGUUUGCAUUAUUAUAUUAUUUUUUUCUCUCUCUGUCUCUCUCUUCAUUUAAUUUUUCUCUCUCUUCCUUUUUUCUUCAUUUUCUCUUUCCUCUUUCCACUUUUUCUCUUUAUCUUUGCUCUUUUCUUUCCUUGCCACUUCCAAUUCAAAACUCAAUUUUCAGUUAAUUUUCUUCAAAUAACAAACGAAAAGGCACAAGAAAAAACUUGUGAAGAAAACAAAAUGAAAAGAGGAAAGAGACACAUUCUCAAAGAAUUGUGAAGGGGAAGAAACAAGAUUUGAUUUUUUUUUCUAGUCACAUAUUUAAAAGAUGUUUGAUAGUUUCAUAUAGGUUCUGCGAAAGACGCUUCUCGUAUUAUUUUUUGAAACAUUUUGUGUUUUAUAUGACGGUAGUAGUAUAUGUCGUAUUAAUCAAUAGUGUUGCUAGUGUGGUUGGAUGGUGUUGAAAUAAGAGAUGAAAAGUACUAGUAUUGCUAGUCAUAUUGUAGAAUAAAUGCAUCAACAUGGUACGCUUACGUCUAGAAUCAGGUAUAUUUGGUUCAGUGGUGAAGUACAUGUUGUCUAAGUGAGUAUCAUGUCAGCAUUUUGUGGCAUUUUGAACUCUAAACGCAACACCAUUGUUCAUCAAUCUUAAAAUAGUCAUUUAAAAUAUAUUUUAUGUCCCUCCCACACUCAAUAAUCACUAAAUUUAUUAUGAAAUUGGUACAAUUCAAUUCAUUAUAAUUAUGGAACAAUUUAUUCUACAUAAAAAUGAAUGCAUUACACCGGUGAUGCUCGUGUUGUCCAUUCAUAGAGUACACUUCUUUCAAUGAAAAAGUAGAUGUUCUCCAUUUAUAUGGUACGCUUGCACACUUGCUUUAUAGAUAUUAUUUUGGGACCAAUUUUGCUUUAUAUGAUAUAAACUCAUUUUCUGAGGUAUUCCUUCAUUUUAUGACUAAUUACAUGAAAUGAGAUAACGUGGGAAUCCAUCAACAUCAAUUAUGGUAACAUUUGAGAAAAAUACUAAUCAUACAUACAAGUCUUGUACUAUAUGUGAAUAUCAUGUAGGAAAUCAAACACAUUUGUGGACUCCAAACGUAACACCAAUGUUCACCAAACUUAAAAUACUCAUCUAAAACAUAAUUUAUGCAUCUCCCAUACUAAUUCAUCAUUAAAAUGUCAAGGAAAUUGGUUCAACUCAAUUUAUCACAAAAUAUAGUAUGUUUUGUUCCACAAGUUAUAAGUACAAUGUAUAAACUGGUAAAGUUAGAGUUAUUCAUGCAUAUAGUAUUGUAAGUUUAUUCAUAAAGUAUAUGUUGUCCAUUUAUAUUGUACUGUUAUAUUCUUUAUAUUAUUGUGGGGUCAAUGCAUCAAUAUAAUAUCAUUUUAAGACGCAUUUCUUCAUUUUAAGACUAUCAAUAUGAAAUGAGAUGAUGUAGGAGUUGAUCAACAUAGAUGAUGACAACAUUUGAGGGAAAUUUUAGCUCUACGCAUGAGCCUUAUACACUUAUAUGAGUAUCAUGUAACAAAUCCAACACAUUUAUGGUAUCUUGUACAUUUAUAUGAGUAUCAUGUAUGAAAUUCAACGUAUUUAUGGCAUUUUGUACCCCAAACGCAACAAUAAUGCUCACUAACCUUAACAUACACACCUAAAUCAUAAUGUAUGCAUCUCCCAUACUAAUUGAUCAUUAAAGUGUCAUGGAAAUCGGUAUAACUCAAUUCAUCACAAACUAUAGUCCAAUGUGUGAAACACGUAAGUACAGUGAAUACAGAUGUGAAGUACAUGUCUAGAAUUGACACGGUAUCUUUAAAUAAACUAGAAAAUAGUUGUUGUUCAUUAGUAUGGUACGCUUAUAUUAUUUGUAUUAAUUUGUGGCCAAGUCAACCAUAUGAACUCAAUUCAUAACAAAAUAUAGUACCAUGUGUUCAACAGGUAAGUGCAAUUCAUCAAAAUAUAUGGUACGAUGUUUUCAAUAUAAAGUACGAGUAGAGAUGACCAAUAGUAUUGUUAGCUCUAUAACAAAGUACAUAUUCUUGCAACUACAUACACAUAAUUACAAUUAUAUCAAAUACAACCUACUAUAAAGUUCCACUAUUAGUACUUCCAAUACUCUCUUUCAACACCAUCCAAAUGCACUAGGAAUACCAAUGGCAUAUACUACAACAUCACCAAGAAUAAUACAAUAAAUAUUUUUCGCAUUUCCUAUAUCAAAGCCAUCAAACAUCAUACAUCAAAUCCUUGAUAGGACUAAAAAUGCUUUGGGAACAAACUAAUGUCGCCGAAUAAUAAUACCCAAGAGAGGAGUGUUCAAAAUCGACAAUAAAUAAAUGAUCUUUGCAAACUCGAACAACAAAAUAAUAGAUAUUGGAACCGAGUUAAUGAUUAGGGGAAACAAAUCAAAACUUAUUUCUUCCCCUUCACCAUUCUUCGAAAAUGGGUCUCUUUCCUCCUUUCUUUUUGUUUUUUUCUUCUUCUACUACAUUGGUUCUUCCUUUUCUUUGUUCUUGUUGCUUCAUUUGUAUUCAUUUAGGAGCUUGUUUUCUUGCGCCUCUUCGUGUUCAUUUUUGUUUGUUGUUUGAAGAAAAAUAACAGAAAUUGAAUUGGAACAUGCAAGAAAAGGAGAGAGAAGAGACAUAGAAAAAGAGGAAAGAGGAAAGAGAGAAGAAAAAGAAAAGUAAGAGAGAGAAAAUGAAAAAGUAUGUAAUUUCAGAUUAAAGUAAAUGGUAUUUUAGAAUUUUCACUUGCCUCUAGGGAUUGAACUGCAUGUGAAACUUUGCAUUAGGGACUGAUACACCUAUAAAACGUCUGUAGAGACUGAUCCGCAGUUUAAGUUUGUGUUUGGGGAUUUAUAUGUACUUACCCCUUUGUUAAUAAAAUACAAUUGGAUUUAUCCCAAAAAGGAAGAAAAAAAAAGGAUUUAGUCUAAUGAUACAUUGUAUAUGAAGGGGUUAUCUCAAAUAAUCCCAAAAAUAAUUUGUUUCGUUGAUUUCUUUUUUUAUUAUUAAAAAUUAUAACUAGUCUAUUUUAAAUUUAUAAUUACUUUUCAGCCCCAAAAAAAUUUAAAAUUUCAAUUUUUACCCCAAAAUAGUAUUUUCCGUUACUUGCUAACAGACAUGUAACGGCAGGGGCCAAAAGUGUUUAAAACUGAAACUUGGAGGUGAACUUUGUUCACUUUGGAACAAGGGGGACCAAAAGUGAAAUUGGGCCAAAUGAGGGACCAAACUAUACUAUUUUAAAGGGGUCUAGAUGUAAUUAGGCAAUUAUAACCAUUUCACGAGGGAGUAUUGUCUAGUCAGCACAUCAAACAACAGACUAUCUGUCUCUGCCUUUUCAGUGCAUUCAUAUCAGUCUCCAAUAAGAGUAAAAUCAUCUCUGCUAUUAUAAAAACCUACUAUCAACCCUAACUCUUCGGCCAUUUCAAGAAUCUCUAUCAUACACAUUUUAUAAAAUAAGCAAUAUCCCCAGCUAAAUAGCAAACCCUACUUAAGUUCAAAAUCUUGCCAGAAUGAUACAUUUUGAUAGUAAAAAAUUAAGAACAAAACUUAGAGGGGAGGUAAUGAACAAUGAUUAAGUGUCUAGAAAAACACUUUGUAAUUAUACUAUUUUGAAGGGGUCUAUAUGUAAUUAGCCAAUUAUAACCAUUUCAUGAGGGAGUAGUCCAAGGUAGACAGGGCCACGGGCCGGGUUUGCCCGGACCGACCCGAAAACCGCCCCACCCCAUUGACCAUGGACUCGGAUACGACAAAGUAUGGGUCGGUUUCAGGUCCCGUUUUUUGGACCCGAGACCCGACGGGUCUACCCGGCUGGGGGGCCCGAGGACCCGACCCGAGUACCCGUCGGGUCCACCCGAAUUUUAAGUGAAAUAACACAAAAAAUGGUCGGUCUGGGGUUCGAACCCGAGUGGUCUGAGUGGUUUUAGUAAAGUUACUUAUUGUUAUACUAAUCCUAGCUAUAAAUAUAUAAAUAUAAAUAACACUGCUAAAAUAAUUAUAAUAAUUAUAAAACUAAUGUUUAACAAACUCUGCCUUUACAUUUCAUUUUCACUGCAGUAGAAUUUUCUUCACAAAAAUCGCUUUAAGAAGAUGAGGAUUUCUGCAAUAGCGCCUUCUAUUCGUAGAGCGAUUUCUGCUAAAUCUUCUACUUAUUACGGUAUUUUUGCUGAUCCGUUCUCUUUAUUUUCUUUAAAUUUUCAUAGCAAAGAUACACUUUUUUCACCUAAUUUCAGAAGAGAUUUGAGCUGUGAAACUGAAGUCGAUGAAGCAAUUUUCUUGUUUCGCAAAAUGGUGAGAAUGCGGCCAUUUGAAUUCACCAAACAAUUAAAAGUUAUUGUCAAUUUGAAACAAUACUCGGUUGCCCUCAAACUGUUCGACGAAAUGCGUGAACUGGGUGCCCCUGUAAAUGAGUACACAAUGAACAUCUUGAUUAAUUGUUGCUGCCAUUUGAAGCGUGUAGACGUUGGUUUUGCUGUCUUCGGCAUCUUCUUUAAACACGGUUACGCGGCAGACGUUGUGACAUUCACCACUCUUCUAAAAGGGCUCUUUCUAGAUGGUAAGGUGGCCGAGGCGGAGAAAUUGUUUAAGCAGCUUUUGACUUUGAGACUUUGUGAACCCGAUGAUUUUACAAUUGUUACUGUGAUAAACGGGCUCUGCAAAAAUGGACACGUUCUUCCUGCGCAUGAUUUGCUUUGCUUAUUGGAAAAGACUAUUUAUAAACCCAAUGUUAUGGCUUAUAGCGCGGUGAUUAAUGGCUUAUGCAAGACUGAAAUGGUGGAUAAUGCACUCGAGCUGAAGUCUAGAAUGAUUGACAAGGGAAUUUCACCUGACGUCGUCACAUAUAACUCGAUGAUUCAGGGCCUGAGCGAUUUAGGUAGAUGGAAAGAGGUCAAAGACUUAUUGAAUGAAAUGGUCAACCAAAAGAUUUGUUUAACUGUUGUUACUUUCAAUAUAUUAGUGGACUCAUUUUGCAAGGAGGGAAAUGUUAAGGAGGCUGAGGAUGUUUUUGAAAUUAUGACGAGACAAAAUAUUUAUCCUAAUAUUGUCACGUACAAUGCAUUGAUAGAUGGGUAUUGUUUGCAAGGGAAAAUGGAUAGAGCGAAAGAAGUGUUUGAUUCCAUAACAGGCAACGGCCUUAAGCCAUGCAUUAUCAGCUAUAACUCUUUAAUCAACGGGUAUUGCAAGAAUGGUAAAGUGGAUGAAGCUUGGCGUCUUUUUCUCGAAGUUUCUUCUAAAGGCUUAGAACACACGACAGUUACAUAUAGUAUCAUGAUACACGGAUUAUUAAGUGAAGGUAGAAACGCUGAUGGAUGGAAACUUUAUAAGGAUAUGGAAGCUCGGCAAGUACAUCCUAAUUUAUAUACUUGCAAUAUUUUGUUGGAAGGCUUGUGCAAGACUCAUCAGAUUGCCGAAGCAUUUUCAUUUCUACGGGUGAUGGAAGACAACGGAUUAAGUCCUAAUAUAAUCACAUACGGGAUCCUGAUUAAUGGUUUAUGCAAAGAUGGGAAACUUGAAGAUGCAAAAAAGCUUUUAAACGAACUUCCUUCCAAAGGGUUGAAACCCGAUAAUCACAUAUAUGCUAUCAUUAUUGGUUCACUUUGUGAAGAAGGGUUCGUAGACGAGGCAAAAGAUUUUCUUAUAAAAAUGGAGAGAAGUGGUUGCGCACCGGAUAGCAUGACAUACAACAUCAUUAUCCAGGGUUUGCUAAAGAAGAAAGAGUUUGACAAGGCAAUCCCAUACUUAGAGGAAAUGCACAAAAAGGGAUUCUUAGCCGAUGCAUCGACUUCGUCCAUGUUAAUUAAUCACUUGCAAGGAUCCAAAAAAAAUGAUGUUCUUUUAGAAAUGAUGAAGAAAGUUGUGCCGAAAAUGUAAAUUAUUUAAUUUCGGCUUGUCAAGUUUAAUUAGUUUUUUGGAAUAUUGAAAAUGACUUGUUGGUCAUUAUUGAUUUUUCUUUUCUUCUUGAAUUUCUAAUUUCUAUUUGGGCUUCUGCAUUGUCCUCCCAAUGAUAUUCGUGUUUCAUGUUUUUGUGAUUGUGAUUGGCUGGUUGUCGACUCAUAUUUGUAUUUGUUUGCUUAGGUCUCGUUUUGUUUGCCAAAAUAAGAUUAGUCAAGAGAAGAUUAAAUAGCCUAAUGAAAACCCAAUUAUUUUGAUCGGACCCUGAAAUAUCCAAUGAAAAAGCUCCCUAAAAUGCAAGAUAACAUAAUUUUUGCAUGUCGACCUGAUAAGUUAUUGCAGAUAUCAAACAUCAAACAAAGUCUAAUUAUUUAGUUAAUAUAUUCAUCAAUUAUCCAAAACAAAAUGAAAAGAAAAUAACAAGAAAAAGAAUGCCCAAAGGUCAAUAUGGACAAUAUUGAUAUCAGCCUCAACAUCAGAGUGGUCAUCACCAUGCACGCAUUCUGUUUCAGAAUCACCUACAUACCUUAUUUCCUCCUCUAACUCUGAAAAUUGUACAGAUUCUCCUAACCUUUUCGAUUCAGACUAACUUUCACUUGAAUUUUCUUCGAAUUAGUAAGUCCAAAUAUGAUUGUGUAACUUUUAUUUUUGUUUAACCCAUAAACAAAGAUAAAAGAUGAAUCUUUUAAGAGAAUUACUGUACAACCUCGAUAAAUUAAUACUCGAUAAAUGAAUAACCUCGUUUAAAUAAUAUAUUUUUUUGGUUCCGACUCGAAGCUAACGAACGUGUUUAAAAAUAUUUUGUUAAAUUAAAAUUUCGCUAUAUUUAUAGAAUUUGGCUGGUCCCGACAGUAAUAAUUUGUAGAGGUUUUUAACUGUAGUACUAACCUCUACUAUUAUAGUAAAUGUCUAGGGUUUGAAUCAUACCACCCUCCCAUAGUUUCCCAAUUUAUAUCAAAUUUUGAAUUUCUAAGUAAAUAAAAAAUAAAGUUAACUAUGGUUUGAUUAAAAGAAGCAAGAUAUAUUGAUUUAGUAUCGGUAACUUUACUUGAAUUAUAGGGAUAAUUAUAAUUUUGGUCCCCCAAGUUUGCAUGUUUUUCACUUUUGGUCCCCCAUUUACCGCCGUCAACAAAAUACACACUAGUGUUAUCACAUUUUAACACAUUUAGUCCCUCCGUCUGUUUGACCGUUAAGUUGUAACGGUCAACGGUUGAAUUUGGGGGUUUUCUUUGAGAAAAUUGCAAUAAGACCCCUGUAUUCUUUCAAAAUAUUAUACAAACCUCUAAAAUUUUAUCAAAUCAUAAUUUAACCCCAAUUUCAUCAAUUAACCAAUUUUAACCACUGAACCCCAUUUUUCAAAAUUUGGUAAUCCGAUGUUGACUUUCUUCUUAACUCGGUUAACUCUUUUUUCCGAUUGAUCUUUUUUUGCCGCCGUUGACCAAUAUUGAAUGUCGGGUUAACAGGCGUUGACAUUUUUUUUCUUGAUUUUUAAUUUAUUUUCAUUAAAUUGUUGAGUAAUGGAAAAAUAUAAUUAAAAAAAAAUUCAAAGCUGAUAAUCGGUGAGAAAAUAAUAUCAUAAAAAAAGUCAAAAUAAAGAAAAAAGGAAAAAGUCAACGCAUUAUCUCAAUGAUGGAAAUAUUUUAAUACAAAAAAAAAAGAUAAAAAUUAACGGCCGGUGUUAGCCCCAAAAACCGUUGUAGUAGAGUGGUUAUCUCAUUCCAAAUUACUCUGCACAUGCCUAAUUCAUCUUAUUAAUAUUUUUUUUGGAAGAAAUUUGGGAUGCACUGGCGCUUCCAUGAAGAAAAAAUUGAAGGGAAUAAACAAUGGAUUUUAGAUUUUUUUUUUUAAAUUGUAUUUAGGCCAUAGAAGAUAAAAACUUUUUUAGAAGUUUAUAAUGUUAAUAUUACAAUACUAGAUAUUAAUAUAGUAUUAUCAUUGUGUUAUACAAUAAUUGUGUUGAUCGGGAAAGAAAAAGUAACAGGAAAAAGUUUGAAAAAAAUCAAGAAAAAUAAAAAAGUCAACAUUGUUAACCGAGAAUACAAUGCCGGUGAACGGCGUCAAAAACAAUAUUAAAAAAAAAAGUCAAUGUCGAAAAAAACGUAAAAAAAAAAAAAAAAAUCAACGGCGGUCAACGGUCAGCGGCAAUGGUGGUAAAAAUCGGGGUCGUUUGUCAAAAUUUAUUAAAUAAUGAAAUUGUGGUUAAAUUAUGGUUGAAUAAAAUUUUAGGGGUUUUUAGAAUAUUUUAGAAGAAUGCAGGGGUCAGAGUGCAAUUUCUCUAUGAAAAAUCUCAAAUUCAGCCGUAAUUCAACAGUUGACCGUUACUUCUUGACGGUCAAACAGACGGAGGGACUAAAUGUGUUAAAAUGUGACAAUAUUAGUGUGUAUUUUAUUGACGGCGGUAAAUAAAGGACCAAAAGUGAAAAACGUGAAACUCAGGGGACCAAAACUGUAAUUAUCCAUGAAUUAUAUGUUGCACUAAAGAAAGGGUAUUCCAUUACCAUCAAUGAAUAAAGGGUAAAUAGCACUUUACCCCUUGUGGUUUCAACUAGUUGCACUUAACCCCUAUCAUAUCAAUUUAGGCCUUUUACCCUCAGGUGGUUUGCACAAUUUAGCGACCGGUCUACCCGUUAAAGGUUAACAGAGUGUGCAUCUCACUCGCUCGAAAAAUGAAUUUGUUGAGUUUUUUUUAACCAUAAAUUAAUGUUUUUACACCAUUUGAAUUAGAAAUUCGAAAAUUAGGGAUUCGCCUCGAGUCAUAAGCCCUAAAUUGAAGUUUAUAAAAUUUUCAAUUAAGUCCUUAACAUUUUUAAAAACCCCUCUUCUCCAAAAUCAACCAAAACCAUCACCGCUAUUAUCUUCAUCUUCUCUUUCCCCUCGAGCCAAUGAGAAGAUGAGGAUUUAUGGAAGACUGGCUAUUCGCAGAGCAAUUUCUGCUAAAUGUUCUACUUAUUACGGUAUUUUAGCUGAUCCGUUCUCUUUCUUUUCUUUAAAUUUUCAUAGCAAAGAUACACUUUUUUCACCUAAUUUCAAAAGAGAUUUGAGCUGUGAAAGUGAAGUCGAUGAAGCAAUUUUCUUGUUUCGCAAAAUGGUGAGAAUGCGGCCGCAGCCCCCCAUUUUCGAAUUCACCAAACAACUAAAAGUUAUUGUCAAUAUGAAACAAUACUCGGUUGCCCUCAAACUGUUCGACGAAAUGCGUGAACUGGGUGCCCCUGUAAAUGAGUACACAAUGAACAUCUUGAUUAAUUGUUGCUGCAAUUCGAAGCGUGUAGGCGUUGGUUUUGCUGUCUUCGGCAUCUUCUUUAAACACGGUUACGAGGCAGAUGUUGUGACAUUCACCACUCUUCUAAAAGGUCUCUUUUUCGAUGGUAAGGUGGCCGAGGCGGAGAAAUUGUUUAAGCAGCUUUUGACUUUGAGACUUUGUGAGCCUGAUGAUUUUACGAUUGUCACUGUGAUAAACGGGCUCUGCAAAAAUGGACACGUUCUUGCUGCUCAUGAUUUGCUUUGCUUAUUGGAAAAGACUAUUUAUAAACCCAAUGUUAUGGGUUAUAGCGCGGUGAUUAAUGGCUUAUGCAAAACUGGAAUGGUGGAUAAUGCACUCGAGCUGAAGUGUAGAAUGAUUGAUAAGGGCGUUUCACCGACUGUUGUCACAUAUAGCUCGAUGAUUCAGGGCUUGUGCGAUUUUGGUAGAUGGAAAGAGGUGAAACACUUGCUAGAUGAAAUGGUCAACCACAAGAUUUGUUUAACUGUUGUUACUUUCAAUAUAUUAGUGCACUCAUUUUGCAAGGAAGGAAAUGUUAAAGAGGCUGAAGAUGUUUUGGAAAUUAUGAAGCAACAAAACAUUAGUCCUAAUAUUGUCACUUACAAUGCACUGAUGGAUGGGUAUUGUUUGCAAGGGAAAAUGGAUAAAGCGAAAGAGGUAUUUGAUUCCAUGGCAAGCAAGGGGAUUAAGCCAUCUAUUAUGAGCUACGGCACUUUAAUAAACGGAUAUUGCAAGAAGGGAAAAGUUGACGAAGCUUGGCGUCUUUUUCUGGAAGUUUCUUCUAAAGGCUUAGAACACACAACGGUUACUUAUAACACCAUGAUACAUGGAUUACUUAGUGAAGGCAGAUUUGGAGAUGGAUGGAAACUUUUCAACGAUAUGGAAGCUCGGCAAGUACAUCCUAAUUUACGUACUCACAAUAUUUUGUUGGAUGGCUUGUGCAAGACUCGUCAGAUUGCCGAAGCAUUUUCGUUUCUGAAGACGAUGGAAGAUAAAGGUUUAAAUCCUGAUAUAAUCACAUACGGUAUCUUGAUUAAUGGUUUGUGCAAAGAUGGGAAAAUUGAAGAUGCAAAGAAGCUUUUAAACGAACUUCCGACCAAAGGGUUGCAACCUAAUAAUAAAAUAUAUGGUGCCAUUAUUGGUUCGUUGUGUGAUGAGGGAUUUAUAGACGAGGCAAAAGAUUUGCUUAUAAAAACGGAGAGAAGUGGUUGUGCACCGGAUAGCAUGACAUACAACACCAUUAUUCAUUGCUUUUUGAAGAAGAAAGAGUUGGACAAGGCAAUGCCAUUCUUAGAGGAAAUGCACAAAAAGGGGUUCUUAGCCGACGCAUCUACUUCGUCAAUGUUAAUUAAUCACUUGCAAGGAUCCAAAAACGAAGACGUUCUUUUAGAAAUGAUGAAGAAAGUUGUGCCGAAAAUGUAAAUUAUUCAUUUUUUCGGCUUGUCGAGUUUAAUUAGGUUUUGGUAUGUCGAAAAUGGCUUGUUGGUCAUUAUUGAUUUGUCGCUUCUUCUUAUACAAAUUCCAUACAUUGCAUCGAUUAGUUUGCGUAUUAAAGAUCCAGAUUAUAAAAAUUCCAAUCAAAUUGUUCAGAUUAAUUAAUAAAUCAUAAUCAAACAUCUGUGAAUUGCAAUAUAUAAACCAUAGUCCAUGAAGGAAAAAAAUCAAUAAUUGUCAGCAGUUGCAUUUUUACAGAAACACACACACACCAAAACACAUCAAAAUGACAUUAUAUAACUAUAACUGCCUAUAUAAAGAUUUACUAACAUAAACAAUAGAAACAAAAAAAAAAAAAAAAGAAACAACGAAUUUGAAUCGCGAUAAACCUACAUUGCAAUUUCGUUUUCCUCACCAAUACACACACACACACGAAGCAAAAAGCUUAUCCAAAUCAUUAAUUUACCUUAAUUAGAGUUGCACAUCUCUAUCAUAUAUCCAGCUAAACGGGACCCGCUGUGCUUGCUUGGCUCGUCCAAGAGCUCUCUCCUCCAACCUUCUGAUCCUCCGUGGCAGUCCACACACGUAAUCCUGCGCCUUCGCCCCGUCAGAAGACAAUCCCGUUAAACUCUCCACUUUCCAUCGACCAACUAAAUGUUCUAGAAUAUCCGCAUAGUCUUUAGCUGUGUAUACACCGAGUCUUUGAGCCACAGACGAAAAGUGAUCGAAAAGAUUAUCGUCACGCCCGUCGUACAUUAAGUGGGCCGGCAUUGAUAUUUUCUUUCUCAUCAUAUCGGCAAAAGAAAUCACGGUUUCAUUUGGGUCGAUUUCGAACAAUUUUUCGACU